rnacentral:lncRNA from 1 species
GGGGGAAGCAAUCCCAGCUAGGCACGGGUCCCUGGCUUCAAAAUUGUGACAAUCCUCCUGCCUCAGACUCCAGAGCAUUGGGAUGGUAUGCAGGAGACACCACAAUUGGCUCCUUCUGGCUUUAUGGAAUAGAUCCUUGCUACAUGAAGCCUGAGCUGGACUUCAAUUCAAGAUCCUCCAGCCUCCGACUCCUGAAUGUUGGGGUUGUAGACAUGCGCCCCCACACAAGCUAGGAGCUUUGUUUGCUCGUGGAUAGCUGGUAAUUCCUUAGAAUAACACCCGGACAGCAGGGGAGAUGGCACAGUAGGCAAGAGAACUCGGGGCAUGCGUCAGCAUCUGCAUCAGCGUCGGAGUUCGAUUCCCUAGCACCCACCUAAGAAGCCAGGCAUGCACACAAGCCUGAACCCCAGUUCUGGGGCUAGGGGGCAGAGACAGGAGGAUCACUGGGCGUCCUUGUCUAGCUCCAGGUACAGCGAGAGACACCGUACCAAAGGACUAAGACACUAACAUCCUCCCCUAU